rnacentral:rRNA from 1 species
CAGGCGGGACCACUCGUGUUGUGAAAUGUUGGGUUAAGUCCCGCAACGAGCGCAACCCUUAUCCUUUGUUGCCAGCGGUUCGGCCGGGAACUCAAAGGAGACUGCCAGUGAUAAACUGGAGGAAGGUGGGGAUGACGUCAAGUCAUCAUGGCCCUUACGAGUAGGGCUACACACGUGCUACAAUGGCGUAUACAAAGAGAAGCGACCUCGCGAGAGCAAGCGGACCUCAUAAAGUACGUCGUAGUCCGGAUUGGAGUCUGCAACUCGACUCCAUGAAGUCGGAAUCGCUAGUAAUCGUAGAUCAGAAUGCUACGGUGAAUACGUUCCCGGGCCUUGUACACACCGCCCGUCACACCAUGGGAGUGGGUUGCAAAAGAAGUAGGUAGCUUAACCUUCGGGAGGGCGCGUAC